rnacentral:miRNA from 1 species
CAAUUUAGUGUGUGCGAUACU